rnacentral:rRNA from 1 species
GUUUGUUUGGAGCUAUAAAGAAUUUGACCUGCCCCCUGAUUAAUAAAUUAAAGGGCCGCAGUAUUAUAACUGUGCAAAGGUAGCAUAAUCAUUAGGUUUUUAAUUGGAAUCUUGUAUGAAUGGUUGGACAAAAGAAAAACUCUCUUUGUAUUAAAUUUUGAAUUUAACUUUUAAGUGAAAAGGCUUAAAUAUUCUAAGGGGACGAUAAGACCCUAUAAAACUUUACAUUGUAAUUAAUUUUUGAUUGAAUUUGUAAAAUAAGAAUUUUAUUUAAUUAUUUGUUAUGUUGGGGAGACAUAAGUAAAAAUAUUAUUUUAACUGCUUAAUAAAAUUAUACAAUUAUUAGUGAGUAAGUAGAAGAUCCUUUUUAAAGAUUAAUAGAUUAAGUUACUUUAGGGAUAACAGUGUAAUUUCUUUUGAGAGUUCUUAUCGAAAAAGAAGAUUGCGACCUCGAUGUUGAAUUAAAGUAUCUAUAUAAUGGAGAGGUUAUAUAAGAAGGUCUGUUCGACCUUUAAAUUUUUACAUGAUUUGAGUUCAAACCGGUGUAAG